rnacentral:rRNA from 1 species
AUCUAUAGCCAUACCACCCUCAACGUGCCUGAUCUCGUCUGAUCUCAGAAGCUAAGCAGGGUCGGCCUGGUUAGUACUUGGAUGGGAGACCACCAGGUGCUGUAGGUG